rfam:Branchiostoma floridae genomic scaffold BRAFLscaffold_211, whole genome shotgun sequence.
GGCAACAUCUUACCAGGCAGCAUUUAGUUUUUGAAAGGAAUACUAAUACUGUCUGGUAAUGAUGUUGGU